UACGGGGGGGGUAAGCGUUGUUCGGAAUUACUGGGCGUAAAGGGCUCGUAGGCGGCCAACUAAGUCAUACGUGAAAUCCCUCGGCUUAACCGGGGAACUGCGUCUGAUACUGGAUGGCUUGAGUUUGGGAGAGGGAUGCGGAAUUCCAGGUGUAGCGGUGAAAUGCGUAGAUAUCUGGAGGAACACCGGUGGCGAAGGCGGCAUCCUGGACCAACACUGACGCUGAUGAGCGAAAGCCAGGGGAGCAAACGGG
rnacentral:rRNA from 1 species